AUUGAACGCUGGCGGCAGGCCUAACACAUGCAAGUCGAACGAGUGUCGGACGGGUGCGUAAUGUCUGGGAAACUGCCCGAUGGAGGGGGAUAACUACUGGAAACGGUAGCUAAUACCGCAUACCAUCGGAUGUGCCCUGAUGGGUUUAGCUAGGAGGUGGGGUAACGGCUCACCUAGGCUACGAUCCCUAGCUGUUCUUAGAGGAUGACCACCCACACUGGAACGUAGACACGGUCAAGACUCCGACGAGAGGCAGCAGUGGGGAAUAUGGCACAAUGGGCGAAAGCCUGAUGCAGCCAUGCCGCGUGUAUGAAGAAGGCCUUCGGGUUGUAAAGGACUUUCAGCGAGGAGGCGUGACUCGCAGAAGAAGAACAGGCUAACUCGGUGCCAGAAGACGCGGUAAUUC
rnacentral:rRNA from 1 species